CCAAUAAGGGAAUUUUUGAUAUGUUAAUUUAUGGGAAAUAAUACCAGAGAGUGAUGAUGUACUCUCAUGAAUAGGGAGGAAUCUUAAAUACCGGUGUGCAUUUUUUAAAAACAUUUCUAAGCAUUCAGCUUAAAUAUGAUUUGGGAGAAAUUUUGAAUUUCAAAGAUUUAAAAGCUUUAUCAAGGGAAAAGGAAGCUACUUACUUUUAAUCGCAAUGUGACAUUUUAAAAUGGAAGAUAUAUUUUGAUGAUAUGAAGUCAUUAUUGAAUACUUUAUGUCAUCUAUAUCUCAGUUUCAGAAGCAUAUGUAAGUGUGCAUGAAAAUCUUUUUUGAAAUCCUUUUGAAAUAUGAUACAGAUCAAUCAAGUAGGGCUUAGUAUUUGAGACCCAUAUGUUCUUGUGCACAUGUGCACAAGUAAAUUAUUGAAAAAGAUAAAAAUGAAUGUAUUUUCUUAAUCAGUUGAUAAAGUUGUGCAAACAUAACAGAUACAUUUGCAUGAAAAUGAUUAAAAUUGAUGAUACACUCUCAUGAACAGGGAGAAAUCAUGUUCUUAAUUAUUUUAUAUUCAUCAUUUUUACUUGUAAGCUUUCAGUUAAAAGUGAUAUAUGGCAAUGAUUUGGAAGCCUCAAGAUCCACAGGCUUUAUCAAUGGAAAAGACAGUUAUUUACUCUUUAUCGCAAUGGGAGAUUUGAUGUUAGAUUGUAUAUUUUGAUCAUGUGCAGUCAUUGUGAAGUAUAAAGUGUCAUCUGCAUCAUUGUGUCACUACCAACUUUCAGUUAAAAGUGAUAUAUGGCAAUGAUUUGGAAGCCUCAAGAUCCACAGGCUUUAUCAAUGGAAAAGACAGUUAUUUACUCUUUAUCGCAAUGGGAGAUUUGAUGUUAGAUUGUAUAUUUUGAUCAUGUGCAGUCAUUGUGAAGUAUAAAGUGUCAUCUGCAUCAUUGUGUCACUACCAACUUUCAGUUAAAAGUGAUAUAUGGCAAUGAUUUGGAAGCCUCAAGAUCCACAGGCUUUAUCAAUGGAAAAGACAGUUAUUUACUCUUUAUCGCAAUGGGAGAUUUGAUGUUAGAUUGUAUAUUUUGAUGAUGUGCAGUCAUUGUGAAGUAUAAAGUGUCAUCUGCAUCAUUGUGUCACUACCAACUUUCAGUUAAAAGUGAUAUAUGGCAAUGAUUUGGAAGCCUCAAGAUCCACAGGCUUUAUCAAUGGAAAAGACAGUUAUUUACUCUUUAUCGCAAUGGGAGAUUUGAUGUUAGAUUGUAUAUUUUGAUCAUGUGCAGUCAUUGUGAAGUAUAAAGUGUCAUCUGCAUCAUUGUGUCACUACCAAGUAAGUGU